AUAAAAACAAAAAUCAGGAAAACAAUGAGGGGUUCAGAUAUACACCCUGAAGAACAGGGUAUAUAUUUAUGAAGUAGUGGAAAACACAGAGGAAAACCAAAGGGACAAAUUGUGCAGGGACUCAAAAAGGCACCCAUGGGAAGAAGCAGGCUUAAUUGAACAAAAUAUGCUAAACAACUACUAUGUACCACACACUGUACUACUAGCUACUGGAGUGGCAACAAAGUCACUAUACUCAAAUAACUCUAAAACCAAUAAAAAGGGAAAUGCAAACAAAUAACCCAUAUUUCUUUAAUUCAACAAUGCAUAUUUUCUUCUAAUGCUAACAUUUUUGAAAUCUAUGUAUGCAUUUACUGAAGUGGUGUUUAUUUGUCAGAAAAGUUAUUAAAUUGAUGGUGCAUACUAGGGUGAAGGAAAUAUAUUCACUGCAAUACAAAAUCACAGCGGCUAUAAUAGAGGUAUAGAGUAAUCACUGUUAUGUAGAAGAUGAGGGGAAAGGGAAAAGAUAAAGGCCUGAUCUGGGAUACAAAGAAUCAAUAGGAGUUCACAAGGUGGAAAGCCAAAGAAGGAUAUUAACAGGAAAAAAAAAAAAAAAGAAAAACCCUGAGGCAUCGAACAGCAUGAUACUUUCAACGAGCAGCACAUAUUAUAGUUUGAUAGGCUGGAAUGUAGAGGUCCGAGGCAGUAUGAGACUAAACUGAAGUGCAGGUAGGUCAGGAAUGCAAAGUGGGGUCAUCUUAUAUUCAAAAACCAAACAAUAUUAUAUACCAUGUUAAUACAACAAAGGACAAAAACCAUAUGAUUAACUCGAUAGAACAGAAAAAGCCUUUGACAAAAUUCAACACCCUUUCAUGAUAAAAACAUUUGAAAAGCCAGGUAUAGAAGGGAAUUUCUUCCACCUGAUAAAGACCAUUUACCGAAAAAAACAGAGCUAACAUUAUAUUUAAUGGUUAAAGACUGAAUAUAUUCCCCCUAAAUUCAAGAACAAAACAAGAAUGUCCACUUUCACAGCAUCUGCUUAACAUUAUUGAAACUAGAAGUUCUAACGGGGACAAUUAGGCAAGAAACAGAAAUAAAAGGCUCCAGAUUUGAAAAGAAGUAAAACUAUCUCUAUUUGCAGAUGACAUGACAUAGAACACCCUAAUGAAUCCAUUUAAAAGACUACUAGAAGAAACAAGUUCAGCAAGGUUGAAGGAUAAAUGAUCACUUAUAAAAAUCAAUUGUAUUUCUAC
rnacentral:lncRNA from 10 species